rnacentral:rRNA from 1 species
AGUGAACGCUGGCGGUAGGCCUAACACAUGCAAGACGAACGGCAGCACAGUAAGAGCUUGCUCUUACGGGUGGCGAGUGGCGGACGGGUGAGGAAUACAUCGGAAUCUACUUUUUCGUGGGGGAUAACGUAGGGAAGCUUACGCUAAUACCGCAUACGACCUACGGGUGAAAGCAGGGGAUCUUCGGACCUUGCGCGAUUGAAUGAGCCGAUGUCGGAUUAGCUAGUUGGCGGGGUAAAGGCCCACCAAGGCGACGAUCCGUAGCUGGUCUGAGAGGAUGAUCAGCCACACUGGAACUGAGACACGGUCCAGACUCCUACGGGAGGCAGCAGUGGGGAAUAUUGGACAAUGGGCGCAAGCCUGAUCCAGCCAUACCGCGUGGGUGAAGAAGGCCUUCGGGUUGUAAAGCCCUUUUGUUGGGAAAGAAAAGCAGCAGGUUAAUACCCCGCUGUUCUGACGGUACCCAAAGAAUAAGCACCGGCUAACUUCGUG